ensembl:lncRNA
CUUAAGAGCCGAAGCCACUUACCGAGAAGACUUCUAUCUCUAAGGCUGAACUCUCAACCCCUCACCGUUGAAAUGGAGAAUAUUUUCAGGAUUGCCUUUUGGACUAUUGCUCUGUCUUGGAUGGUGCUGGCUGGACCAAUCACCCACUCAGAAGUCAUUAUCCCGGAAGCACUCCUCCGUCAGAAUGUCAUCUGUCCAGCUAAUAUGAGCUUCUAUACACCAUCAAUGAACAAUCACUGUAUGAAGGCCUCGCUGCAGUGCGUGAUCUCAGUGCUCAGGACCGCCAAAGUCCAGUGUGAAGAUGAAAAAGCUAAGAUGGAACAGGUUCUGGAUGAACUGAUCAACUAUGAGGAUAGCCUGCCGACCCCGUCCAACGCCACCGCGUGCGUGUGCGCGGCCGGCGCUUCUUGGAACGACUUCCUGGGCAACCUGACGAGUCUGCUGCAGAUGUACAACACCAUGAAAAGGACGGCCGGCGACGCCACCAAGGGCUAAAAGACCAAGAGGCGGCCAUCAGCAGGGGUUGUUAUGACUACAAAAUCACUUGCCAUUCGAUUAAUUUAUUUUAUUUAAGAGUGUGUGUACCAAGACGAUACUGCUACAUGACCACAGGCCGACAGUAGGACACGUUUGUCUUGUUCUGAUGCUGCCUCCUCAACAUGGUCUUUAUACAUAUAUCUAUGUAUUCAUAUAUACUUUAUGUAUGUAUUUUGUGCCCUUAUUUUAUUUACUAUAUCACUAUUAAAUUAUUAUUAUUUAUUAGCUUGAACCCUAAUGGAAAAAAAUGUUUCUCAUCCUAUGUAAGGUCUUGUAAAGCUCCAAACACAAUGUUUAAUAUUACGAACUGUUAUAAUUAUUACUAUUUAAUAACUUGUUUGAACCGGUGCUCUGAUAAUUUAAGGCAGCAUAAUAAAAUGUGAUGAAAACCAG